GCUCUCUUAGCUCAGUUGGUUAGUGCAUGGAACUCUGUAUUUUGCCUGAACCCCCGAGGUCGCGCGUUCGAUUCUCUCAGGAAGCA